UGUUUGGCGCAAUGGUAGCGCGUAGACCUCCUAAGUCUAAGGCUGUGGGUUCGAGGUACGGUUUAGCACAAUGACAG
rnacentral:tRNA from 1 species